ACUGCAGCGCCUCCAUGGGCCCCACAGGGGGCACUUCCGGAGGAUGACAGGGGACAGGAAUGUGAAAUCAUCAGCUUUGCCAAGACAGGCCUCUCCAACGUCAACCAGACUCGUCUUGAUUUUCACUUCUCUGAUACAACUGCUGGUGGCAUGGAGGUCCAGCAGGCCAGCCUCAUGUUCUUUGUGCAGCUUCCUCUCAAUACUACCUGGACUUUGAAAGUGAGGGUCCUUGUGCUAGGCCUACAUGGCACCAAUCUCACCUUGGCUAAUCAGCACUUACUGGAGGUGGAUGCCAGUGGCUGGCACCAGCUCCUCCUUGGGCCUGAAGCUCAGGCUGCCUACAGCCAGGGGCAUCUGACCCUGGAGCUGGUACCUGAAGGCCAGGUAGCCCAGAGCCCAGUCAUCCUGGCUGGGGCUGCCCAUAGGCCUUUUGUAACAGUCCAGGUGAGAGUUGGAGGCAAGCACCGGGUUCGCCGACGAGGCAUCGACUGCCAGGGAGGGUCCAGGAUGUGCUGUCGACAAGAGUUCUUUGUGGACUUCCGUGAGAUUGGCUGGCAUGACUGGAUUAUCCAGCCUGAGGGCUACGCAAUGAACUUCUGCACAGGGCAGUGCCCACUCCAUGUGGCAGGCAUGCCUGGUAUUGCUGCCUCCUUUCAUACCUCAGUGCUCAAUCUGCUCAAGGCCAACACAGCUGCAGGCACCGCUGGAGGGGGCUCAUGCUGUGUGCCCACAGCCCGGCGCCCCCUGUCUCUGCUCUACUAUGACAGGGACAGCAACAUUGUCAAGACCGACAUACCUGACAUGGUGGUAGAUGCCUGUGGGUGCAGUUAGUCUACAUGUGGUCCAGGCACCCCAAGGUGGUCAAACACCCUCACAGAAGUGCCCUUUUUUGAGGGAAUGACACCAUUUUCUGUCCAGAACGUAGAUUCCCUCUUCCUGAGCAAUCUAUAGAAAUGAUCCCACCUUUGACUUGAUGAGAAGUUCAUUUAAGGAGAGUCACUGUACCAUCUUCACAACCACUAGCAUCUCUCCUAGGGCACAGUCCAUCCAGCUAGCUCCACCUACUUGAUCCCCACUCCAGGGACUCAGACCCACCUCUCAUCCUGAGCAGUGCCACCUGGUUCCCAGGCAAAACACCAUUAGUUCACUCUUAAUUGACUCCAUAAUCCACCAUGCCUCCCUGCUUUUUCCACACAAUGGUCCCCACUCUAGGAUGAUUUGACCCAGCUCCUUCCCCUGAUUUUCUGGAUCUCCAGAGAGCCCCUUCCUUGGAUUCACCAAAGAUAGAUCACUGCUCUCCAAAGUGAGGCUUACCCUGCUCUGAGUCAUGAGCCCCUUUCCUUCUUACUUGCCCAGGUGGGCUAAAAAUGCUCUCUUUGCAUACUGUCAUCCACUUUUUGUCCUUCUCUUCCUUGCUCUAUGUCUUUAGGGGCUGAAGCACCUGAGCUACAUCACCUGAGCUCCUCUGCCCUCUAGCUUCCUGCUGAGUUUGACCAAGGGAAGACACAGGUGGGAGACCAAAGGAUAGGAGGAGACAGAGGUCAAGGCAUUUCUUAUUCCUGCUUCCUCUCUGCCUAGGUGCCAUAGUUCUGUGUACCUGUGGCUGUGCUGUGUCCCUAUAGCACCUGUCUGAUUACCUCUUUCAUGGCACCCUCUCUGCCUAGGUUCUGAUAUUAUUGCUUCAACAUCAGGGGGUCCAAAUUACUUUCCACUUUGCCAGUCUCUAGGGGUUUCAACAUCCCUUGUUGGUUUUCUUAACCCUUCCUACACCUCUGUGAAUAAUUUUUUCACUGUGUCCUCUUGAUGAAGCAAACACAGGCAGCUGAGUGGGUCCUCUGUCUAUGGCCAGGACCCUAACUGCCACCCCAGAAGACACAGAGCCUGCCUGCCCUGCCCAUUCUGCUUUCUCUUAACAAGGAUUCCUCAGGACUAGCUCUUGUAUCUGUCUCACACUUCAUGCCUCUUCCUCCCCCAGGCUGCCUCCUCUUCUUUCUUAAGCUCCCCCUUCAUCUUUCCAGAACCAUUUUUGAAGGUCUCAUGGCUAAUAAAGACCUAGAUUUUACCUGCUCCUCUCCUCCCUCUGUACUCACUCCAAAAUAUGAGACAGAUCAAUGCUUAGUCAUUAAGUAAGCCGACAAUCUGUGGGCACACAAGUGGUGGGAAGCAGAGGCAUGCUCAGAGCUGGCUACCAGCACCUCUGACUUGCCUGCCUUUCACCCGCCCCCAGGACUGCAUCCAGGAGUCCUGUCUGGAAGCUGAAACUGGCAAGGGCUGCUUGAGUGGGCCAGGGAGAAGAGGAAACCCUGGGGUGAGGAGAGGGUGGCAUUUGCUCUGAGAGGGAUCUUCUUUAGACCUUUGCCCUUCUUCCACCACCAUCUCCUCCCUUUGGCUGGACAGCCCUGAACGGUGGGUCGAUAUUGUCUGCAGCCCAAGGCUGAGUUUGCGUAAAACCCAUGUGUCCUUUGGUGAACGUGAUGUCUGUGUUUGCUCAGCUUAUAACCCUCUCCUACCAGGGUAAGAGGUCCCUGAUAUAGGAUCCCUAGGAGAGAAAGUCUGAAGGGACCUCCUGAGGGACUGCAAAUCUGAGCUGGGUGGCUUCCUGAGCAACCCAUGGAAGUUAUCCUACCUUUGACUUGAGGAGACCUUCAUCUAAAGAGAAUCUAAAGAGGUCUUCUGUUGUCUCUCCCUCUCCCUUCUGCCAUUGUCGCCCUCCCUCUCCCCCUUCCCCACCCCAUCUAACUUCCUUCCCUGCAACUACAGCUUUAGUCACCAGGGCUAAGACUAGGGAAAGGUGAAGUGAGGCACUCACCUUAGGAGCAAAAUUUUAAGGGGAUGGCAAAAAUAUCAUCAAUCAAGAUGAAUAAGAUUUAAAUGCAGUAUUUUUUAAAAAUCAAAAUGCAGAAAAAUUCACAAUGAACAAAAUAGCAUAUUUUAAAAUAAACAUAGGAUCAGUAUUAUUCCCUUUCUUUUUUGGCUCUGCUUUUUGUAAAAGGGGAAAGAGUGGGUCUGUCUUUUUCCAAAUAUUUUCUUCCAGAGCCUCCUAGCCCCUACCUCUAGACUCCUUCAGGCUUUUCUUAUUUGGGCAAGAUAACUACUCCCGCUUCUUCUACUUCCUUACCUACCCCAAACCUGUUGUUGCUACCCCUCCCCAGCCCCCAACCAGGUUGGUGGUAGGGCAGGCAGGGAGGCAGAUGGCUGGGGUAUUUAUAACCUGGGAGCACUUCUUGGGAAAAGUGACUAAGAUGCUAAGAGCAUAUUUAUAGCCGAGCUCUGACGUAAGUGUCAGUGGGGAGGUAGGGCCAGGCCAGGCACAGCAGCAAGGGGUGGGAAGAGCUGGAAAUUGGGGGCACCCAACCCACAGGGUGGGGAGAGAUGGGGUCAGCGACUCCUGCAGCCACUUCUUGUUGCUUCCCCUGACUCUGUCUCCUGACACCAACAGACUCCUCUACUUCAACCUGCAGCUCCAUGCUCACCUUCCACCUGUCCAUUCCUGGGUCCCACCACCUGUACCACACCCGCCUCUGGCUGCACGUGCUGCCCACCCUUCGUGGCACUCUUUACUUGCGGAUCUCCCGAUGGGGCUCAAAGAGGAGGCGCCCAGGGUCCCGCACCCUCCUGGCUGAACACCAAAUGACUACCCCCGGCUGGCACGCCCUGACUCUGCCCUCUAGUGGCUUGAGGGGUGAGGCGUCUGGUGUCUUGAAACUCCAGCUGGACUGCAGACUCUUAGAAGGCAACAGCACAGUUACUGAACAACCAAGGCAGCUCCUGGACACAGCCAGACACCAGCGGCCCUUCCUGGAGCUUAAGAUCCGGGCCAAGGAGCCUGGAGCAGGCCGGGCCAGGAGGAGGACCCCCACCUGUGAGCCUGGGAACCCCUUAUGUUGUAGGCGAGAUCAUUAUGUAGACUUCCAGGAGCUGGGAUGGCGCGACUGGAUCCUGCAGCCUGAGGGGUACCAGCUGAAUUACUGCAGUGGGCAGUGCCCCCCGCAUUUGGCUGGCAGCCCGGGCAUUGCUGCCUCUUUCCAUUCUGCUGUCUUCAGCCUCCUCAAAGCCAAUAAUCCUUGGCCUGCCAGUACCUCCUGCUGUGUCCCCACUGCCCGAAGGCCUCUCUCUCUCCUCUACCUUGACCAUAAUGGCAAUGUGGUCAAGACAGAUGUGCCUGAUAUGGUGGUGGAGGCCUGUGGCUGCAGCUAGCAAGAGGACCUGGGGAUUUAGAGGGAAGAGAUCAAGUCGAGGGUUCCCAGGCAAAAGGCAUCUGCGGCUGGAGGCAUCAGAUUCCUGAUCCACACACCCACCCAACAGCCACCUGACAAUAUGACUGGGGUGUUCCCAAGGGACACAAAUGGGCACUUUCUUGUUCCAGACACUGGCCUAUUCUAG